UUUAUUGGAGAGUUUGAUCCUGGCUCAGGAUGAACGCUGGCGGCGUGCCUAAUACAUGCAAGUCGAGCGAAUGGAUUAAGAGCUUGCUCUUAUGAAGUUAGCGGCGGACGGGUGAGUAACACGUGGGCAACCUGCCCAUAAGACUGGGAUAACUCCGGGAAACCGGGGCUAAUACCGGAUAACAUUUUGAACCGCAUGGUUCGAAAUUGACAGGCGGCUUCGGCUGUCACUUAUGGAUGGACCCGCGUCGCAUUAGCGAGUUGGUGAGGUAACG
rnacentral:rRNA from 1 species